rnacentral:lncRNA from 1 species
GAAGACAGAAUUCAAGAAGUAACGUGAAUUUCUAAGAACAACUGCAGCUGAAGGAUAUGGAUGUAGAGUUCCCUGUGGCCGUAGUGAUUUGGAAAGGAGCCCAGUUUACACAAACGCACACAAUAGAAUCUCUGUGGAACGUCGUUGCUCCUGGCAUUGCAUCCCACUCCCACAUCUCUGACUGGGGAUGGAUUUUACUAUUGACUCCUGCCUCAAUGAAGAACAUUAAUGGUUUUACCCUCAUUCCAUCAGUACAAUGGAAACUCCUUCAAGAAAUGUUGGAAUCCCUU